CAGACAGCACAUGUUGGAGGUUUUGGUAAUAAAGUCAGGGAGGCCAGACUGAGAUGGUCCGGAUGUGUCCAGAGGACAGACGGGAAGCCCUUGAACCUGAACUCUGUGUGGUCAUCGUGAGCACGGUUGUGAUUCCCAACCCCACUCUGGCUGGAGCCGCAUCCAUGUUGAUCCAGAACGACACCCAGGACAGGAUCACAGUGAGUAGGCUCGUGAGAUUCGUGUCCACAGAGAUAGCCCACCUGCAGCUGUGAGUGUGAUGUGAUGAGGAACAUCAACACCUUGCUGGUAA